rnacentral:lncRNA from 12 species
GGAGUAAAUAGAGUAUGAAGUGUUGGAACAGCAGCUGCCCUUUGAAGCUGGAAUACCAUCAGGGCAUGAUGUUCAUCAGCCUGGAAAGAGGAAGGAAGGGUGCUGUGCAGGGUAGUAGUUGAUGCUGCCUCAGUUCUUAGGGGGAAACUGUAUGACCCACUGACACUGCUUUCAGAGGGUGUGAAGAGUACACUGACCAAACUAACUCUCCACCCAGUGACCUUCUACAGUCUUCCAUAAUACCACCACAAAGAGAGCAGAUUCAGGAGAUUUUGGAGAGUUCAUGGAUAUCUUCAGGCAUACCAACCAGAGAAAAAAAUACAAGUUCCUAUUCCACAGUUCAUCCUGAUUGUUUCCUUUCCAUGAACUUUUGUUAUUCCAAAUAUGCUUUCAGGAUUUAAACUCUCAAUUAAUGUGUUUUGUUCAUACAACAAAGCCUAUUUCUCCUCAUGUUCGUGGAAAUGAUUAGUGAGUGGAAAAUGGCUCAAAAUUAAUAAAGACAAUAUUAG